AGAGUUUGAUCAUGGCUCAGGACGAACGCUGGCGGCGUGCCUAAUACAUGCAAGUCGAGCGCGUGCAGCAAUACACGAGCGGCGGACGGGUGAGUAACGCGUGGGCAACCUGCCCUCUAGCCUGGGAUAACAGCGCGAAAGUGCUGCUAAAACCGGAUAUGCUCACAAGGAGGCAUCUCCUGGUGAGGAAAGUUUACACUAGAGGAUGGGCCCGCGUCCCAUUAGCUAGUUGGUGAGGUAACGGCCCACCAAGGCGACGAUGGGUAGCCGACCUGAGAGGGUGAUCGGCCACACUGGGACUGAGACACGGCCCAGACUCCUACGGGAGGCAGCAGUAGGGAAUUUUCCGCAAUGGGCGAAAGCCUGACGGAGCAACGCCGCGUGAGGGAUGAAGGUCUUCGGAUCGUAAACCUCUGUCUUCAGGGACGAUAAUGACGGUACCUGAGGAGGAAGCCACGGCUAACUACGUGCCAGCAGCCGCGGUAAUACGUAGGUGGCGAGCGUUGUCCGGAAUUACUGGGCGUAAAGGGCGUGUAGGCGGCCUUUUAAGUCAGAUGUGAAAUCUCAGGGCUUAACCCUGAAACUGCAUUUGAAACUGGAGGGCUUGAGGAUCGGAGAGGGCAGUGGAAUUCCCAGUGUGGCGGUGAAAUGCGUAGAUAUUGGGAGGAACACCAGUGGCGAAGGCGACUGCCUGGACGACACCUGACGCUGAGGCGCGAAAGCUAGGGGAGCAAACGGGAUUAGAUACCCCGGUAGUCCUAGCCGUAAACGAUGGGUACUAGGUGUGGGAGGUAUCGACCCCUUCCGUGCCGCAGUUAACACAAUAAGUACCCCGUCUGGGGAGUACGGCCGCAAGGUUGAAACUCAAAUGAAUUGACGG
rnacentral:rRNA from 1 species